rnacentral:snRNA from 1 species
AUCGCUUCUCGGUCUUUUGGCUAAGAUCAAGCGUAGUCUGGAGCCGGGGCUUGCUCCGUCCACUCCACGCAUCGGCCUGGUAUUGCAGUGUCGCCAGGAACGGUGUUCUUCCC